UAAUACGUAGGGUGCAAGCGUUGUCCGGAAUUAUUGGGCGUAAAGAGCUCGUAGGCGGUCUGUCGCGUCUGCUGUGAAAACUCGGGGCUUAACCCCGGGCCUGCAGUGGGUACGGGCAGACUAGAGUGCGGUAGGGGAGACUGGAAUUCCUGGUGUAGCGGUGAAAUGCGCAGAUAUCAGGAGGAACACCGGUGGCGAAGGCGGGUCUCUGGGCCGAUACUGACGCUGAGGAGCGAAAGCGUGGGGAGCGAACAGGAUUAGAUACCCUGGUAGUCCACGCUGUAAACGUUGGGCGCUAGGUGUGGGGGGCCUCUCCGGUUCUCUGUGCCGCAGCUAACGCAUUAAGCGCCCCGCCUGGGGAGUACGGCCGCAAGGCUA
rnacentral:rRNA from 1 species